rnacentral:lncRNA from 1 species
AAUACAUCGGAGAAGAGCAUGCUGAUUGAAAGAAUCACAUGAUUAGAUCGGAAACCAGAAUCAAAGAAAUACUACCUCGAACUCCCGCACUGGAAAUCUACCGAUUCACACUCCAACGUCUAUUUCACUCCAAAAUCUGUCGAUUCAUAGCUUCACCAAUCGUACGCUUAUUGAACUAGACCAAUUUUAGCUUAGGCUUUGAACUAGACCGACCCAUCCGCCG